AGAGUUUGAUCCUGGCUCAGAACGAACGCUGGCGGCAUGCCUAACACAUGCAAGUCGAACGAGACCUUCGGGUCUAGUGGCGCACGGGUGCGUAACGCGUGGGAAUCUGCCCUCUGGUACGGAAUAACUCAGGGAAACUUGAGCUAAUACCGUAUAAUGACUUCGGUCCAAAGAUUUAUCGCCUGAGGAUGAGCCCGCGUAGGAUUAGCUUGUUGGUGAGGUAAAAGCUCACCAAGGCGACGAUCCUUAGCUGGUCUGAGAGGAUGAUCAGCCACACUGGGACUGAGACACGGCCCAGACUCCUACGGGAGGCAGCAGUGGGGAAUAUUGGACAAUGGGCGAAAGCCUGAUCCAGCAAUGCCGCGUGAGUGAUGAAGGCCUUAGGGUUGUAAAGCUCUUUUACCCGGGAAGAUAAUGACU
rnacentral:rRNA from 1 species